rnacentral:tRNA from 1 species
GGCAGUUUGGCGGAGUGGUCUAACGCGCUAGACUGUGCGUAUCAUCGUAAUCAAAACUACUUUGGAACUAUUUAACUAACUUUCCCCCAGUGAACAAACACAUUCAUGUUAUCUAGUCCUUUCGAGGGCGCAGGUUCGAACCCUGCAACUGUCG